GUACACUCCUACGGGAGGCAGCAGUGGGGAAUUUUGGACAAUGGGCGAAAGCCUGAUCCAGCAAUGCCGCGUGAGUGAAGAAGGCCUUCGGGUUGUAAAGCUCUUUUGUCAGGGAAGAAACGGUGAAAGCUAAUAUCUUUUGCUAAUGACGGUACCUGAAGAAUAAGCACCGGCUAACUACGUGCCAGCAGCCGCGGUAAUACGUAGGGUGCAAGCGUUAAUCGGAAUUACUGGGCGUAAAGCGUGCGCAGGCGGUUUUGUAAGUCUGAUGUGAAAUCCCCGGGCUCAACCUGGGAAUUGCAUUGGAGACUGCAAGGCUAGAAUCUGGCAGAGGGGGGUAGAAUUCCACGUGUAACAGUGAAAUGCGUAGAUAUGUGGAGGAACACCGAUGGCGAAGGCAGCCCCCUGGGUCAAGAUUGACGCUCAUGCACGAAAGCGUGGGGAGCAAACAGGAGUAGAUACCCCUGUAGUCCCAUGAU
rnacentral:rRNA from 1 species